rnacentral:rRNA from 1 species
GACGAACGCUGGCGGCGUGCCUAAUACAUGCAAGUAGGACGCAGUUGCGAACGGGUGAGUAACGCGUAGGUAACUGCCUAUUAGAGGGGGUUGACUAUUGGAAACGAUAGCUAAUACCGCAUACUAGGAGAUGGAUCUGCGUGGUAUUAGCUAGUAGGUAGGGUAAUGGCCUCCCUAGGCAACGAUACAUAUCCGACCUUGGAGGGCUAUGGGCGACACUGGAACUAGGACGCGGGCCAGACUGCUACGGGAGGCAGCAGUAGUGAAUCUUCGGCAAUGGGGGGAAUCCUGACCGGGCAACGCCGCGUGAGUGAAGAAGGGUUUCGGGUCGUAAAGCUCGUUUGUUAAGGAAGCGGUACUUAACCAGAAAGGGACGGCUAACUACGUGCCAGCAGCCGCGGUAAUAC